UCAGACACAGACCUUUGGGGUAACAUUAAUGACAAGAAGGACGAACGCAAGAAGAAAAGAUCAGACACAGACAUUUGGGGUAACAUGAAUGACAAUAAGGACGAACGCAAGAAAAAAAGAUCAGACACAGACCUUUGGGGUAACAUUAAUGACAAGAAGGACGAACGCAAGAAGAAAAGAUCAGCCAAAUCCAAUCGACAUUACCGAAUGGAAUAUUUAAGUGAUGAUGAACUGUGAUUCAAAGCAGUUGAUAUGUGGUUAGAGUGUGUUUGUUUCUUAAUGUAUUGACAUGUAUUUCAAAAUUUAAAUCAGAUGUCUGUUAUUGAGCUUUUAGUUAAGCCAUCGCUUAUUCUAUUUUUUGUACGCAUUUAUAAAAAGUUUUUUUUUGCGACCCAUUUCCUGUUUGUUUUAUGUAUACAAUAUACUGUAAACAUGAUUUAUGUCGAACUCAAAACUUAUAAUUUUCUAAACAGUAACAUGUAACAACAUAGUUAUAAUAUAAACUUAUUUUUUUUUGAAAUAUGAAUUUAAUGAAGUGUUGUUUAUUUCUAUAUAACACUACUUUUAUUGUACUUAUUUGUAUAGCAUGAAAUGAAUUUUGUAUGUCCGUCUUUUUAAAAGACCAGGUCGCUGUAUUCGCAAAACGUGCAAUAGUUUUAUGAUAUAUUGUAUUUUCAGAUGAUGUCUUACAUUGUUUCUUAAAACAAUUUAAGAUUAAAUUUUAGUCUUUAUCCUAAAAACAAAUCUAGCUAUUCAAUUUUAGAAUGGACAUGUUUGGUGAGGUUCUUGACAUCUCCAUUAUAUCAUUGUUAUAUAUCAGGCAGCGUCGCACUCUAAUGAACAUUCUCUGAUACUGAAACUUUCAUAAUAUACUAAUUACACACACAAAUAUAUUAUAUAAAGCAUGUUUAUUUAUUCUGCAAAAUAAAAAAUGGUUAUAGUUUUA